UAAGCUCUUGAAACUGGGAGACGUGAGUGCAGGAGAGGAGAGUGGAAUUCCUAGUGUAGCGGUGAAAUGCGUAGAUAUUAGGAGGAACACCAGUUGCGAAGGCGGCUCUCUGGACUGUAACUGACGCGGAGGCACGAAAGCGUGGGGAGCAAACAGGAUUAGAUACCCUGGUAGUCCACGCUGUAAACGAUGAGUACUAGGUGUCGGGGGUUACCCCC
rnacentral:rRNA from 1 species